CUCGUUGUGAUGGCACACAGAGUCAAUGAAUUCAGCCAGGGCACAGAGGACAUCCCGCAGAGGGUGGGUGAUUCAACAGGGCAUUUGGGGCUGUGACUGAGUGCAUCUAUGGGAAGUGUGAGCAUCCAGUGAGAACCAGGGCCCCACAAAGCCCUCGUUUCAGCAGGAUUGCUUCACCAAGAACCAGAUGCUUAUGGACAGCUCAGGAACCUAGGUUAGGCAAACCAUAUGCAAUCAGGAAUUAAUUUCCACAUAGGAUGGUGUUUUCAAUGAGAAGUAAUAUUAGGCAAAGACUGAAAAAUAUGGUUACUGUGCUGUUAUAGCAUGAGAUGAGAAAAUCAAGUAUGAAGAGAAGAUAGAAAAGGAGAAGACUUGUGAACAGCUGGAAAAGUGUCUUGGAAGAAUUGGGAACUGGAAAAAAAGUAAGCUUCAAGACCAGGCAGAAGUCUAGUGUUAACAGUUUUUAACAUGGCAUAUUCUAUCUUGGACUAUGAGGGAAGCAUGGUGACUUUUGUGAUAGAUAUCCAGACAGUGUUGGUCAUAUUUGGAACAGAUCAUUCUGUGUCCACCUCUUACAACAUUCAGCCUCCAAUGUCCUCAGAGAGUUCCUGUCAAUAGCACAGCAUGAUGCAUUUACUGGGCAGUGAACCUGAUGCAAAUCUGCCCCUGCUGCUCACAGUCCCAGAACCCAGCAUGAGUACUGGUAGAGAGCAAACAUCACUGUCUUCAAGGAAGACACAAGGCUAAAGAUCCCUGGACACUGUGACACCUCUCCCAGUCUGCAGUCACAUGUAUUUGGCCAACGUGGGCAGGCUGACCAGAAUGUCAGCAGGACAGGAGCAUCACAGGGAUGCACAGGAACCAGGUGGGUACCACGCUAUUCCUUCCAGGCAUAUUCCCUGCUUGGCUCCACAACCCCUCCUUGGUGGCAACUGAGCAAAGAAAAAAAGCUUUACACAGAUACUGUCCCACAGAACUUCAUGGGGUGGUCUGAAAUGUCAUCUUCAUCUACUAAAACAAACGUGGUUAACCACAGUGAGGCCUCUGCAGAAACAAAAAAGCAGAAAAAUGCCAUGUAUUCUGCAGAGGUGAUUAAAUUGCAUGUCCUGUAAGUUCUUCUUAUUAUAAUCACUUUUGAUAUGCCCUGUGUAGCAUUCAUCUGGCUUUCAUCCCUACCUCUGUCUGCUGUUUGUGGCUGAAGAAAAAGUGACGUUUAUUUUGAGCUAAAAGACAGCUUUGUUCCAGACCAGAUGUCUCAUUCACUAUGCAUAUGUCAGCCCUGCAGGUGCUAUCUCAGACUCAAGAAACAGCAAGUUUUUCAAAUAACAAUGCAAUGUCAAGAUAUUACUUGCACAAAAUAAUAAAACACUUUCUCAGCUUCA
rnacentral:lncRNA from 1 species